rnacentral:rRNA from 1 species
CAGCACCCCGAGUGGUCGGGACGAUUAUUGGGCCUAAAGCAUCCGUAGCCGGUUCUACAAGUCUUCCGUUAAAUCCACCUGCUUAACAGAUGGGCUGCGGAGGAUACUAUGGAGCUAGGAGGCGGGAGAGGCAAGCGGUACUUAGUGGGUAGGGGUAAAAUCCGUUGAUCCAUUGAAGACCACCAGUGGCGAAGGCGGCUUGCCAGAACGCACUCGACGGUGAGGGAUGAAAGCUGGGGGAGCAAACCGG